rnacentral:misc_RNA from 1 species
AAGUCGUAACAAGGUUUCCGUAGGUGAACCUGCGGAAGGAUCAUUACCUUUGGCUGCCGUGAGCGCUUCGGCGUGAGCGACAGUCAUUCUAUAGCGAUGCCUCCGUGUCCGGGAAACCGGCGCGGGGCUGACCUAACCCUUCUCUACGAGUACCUAUCAUUCUCCUUCGGCGGGGCAACCCGCCGCUGGAACUUAAGAACCAACUUGCAUUUAGCAUUACCUGUUCUGAUAACAAUUAAUUAUUACAACUUUCAACAAUGGAUCUCUUGGCUCUG